GUAGGUGGCAAGCGUUGUCCGGAAUNAUUGGGCGUAAAGAGCAUGUAGGCGGCCUAUUAAGUCGGGCGUGAAAAUGCGGGGCUCAACCCCGUAUGGCGCCCGAUACUGGUGGGCUUGAGUGCAGGAGAGGAAAGGGGAAUUCCCAGUGUAGCGGUGAAAUGCGUAGAUAUUGGGAGGAACACCAGUGGCGAAGGCGCCUNUCUGGACUGUGUCUGACGCUGAGAUGCGAAAGCCAGGGGAGCGAACGGGAUUAGAUACCCCGGUAGUCCUGGCCGUAAACGAUGGGUACUAGGUGUAGGAGGUAUCGACCCCUUCUGUGCCGGAGUUAACGCAAUAAGUACCCCGCCUGGGGAGU
rnacentral:rRNA from 1 species